GGCCCUGUUAGUUUAUUUUUGAAAAUAUGACUCUGAAGAAGUCAAGAAGUUUAGGGGUG
rnacentral:tRNA from 1 species